rnacentral:rRNA from 1 species
GGACUACAGGGGUAUCUAAUCCUGUUUGCUCCCCACGCUUUCGCGUCUCAGCGUCAGUCACCGUCCAGAGGGCCGCCUUCGCCACCGGUGUUCCUCCUGAUAUCUACGCAUUUCACCGCUACACCAGGAAUUCCACCCUCCUCUCCGGGACUCGAGUCCGCCAGUAUCCAAUGCACUUCCGGGGGUGAGCCCCGGGCUUUCACAUCAGACUUAACAGACCGCCUACACGCCCUUUACGCCCAGUGAUUCCGAACAACGCUCGCACCCUCCGUAUUACCGCGGCUGCUGGCAC